rnacentral:rRNA from 1 species
GACGAACACUGGCGGCGCGCCUAACACAUGCAAGUCGAACGAGCGAGAGAGAGCUUGCUUUCUUGAGCGAGUGGCGAACGGGUGAGUAACGCGUGAGGAACCUGCCUCAAAGAGGGGGACAACAGUUGGAAACGACUGCUAAUACCGCAUAAGCCCACGGUGCCGCAUGACACAGAGGGAAAAGGAGCAAUCCGCUUUGAGAUGGCCUCGCGUCCGAUUAGCUAGUUGGUGAGGUAACGGCCCACCAAGGCGACGAUCGGUAGCCGGACUGAGAGGUUGAACGGCCACAUUGGGACUGAGACACGGCCCAGACUCCUACGGGAGGCAGCAGUGGGGAAUAUUGCACAAUGGGGGAAACCCUGAUGCAGCGACGCCGCGUGGAGGAAGAAGGUCUUCGGAUUGUAAACUCCUGUUGUUGGGGAAGAUAAUGACGGUACCCAACAAGGAAGUGACGGCUAACUACGUG